rnacentral:rRNA from 1 species
GACGAACGCUGGUGGCGUGCUUAACACAUGCAAGUCGAACGGAAAGGCCCUGCUUUUGUGGGGUGCUCGAGUGGCGAACGGGUGAGUAACACGUGAGUAACCUGCCCUUGACUUUGGGAUAACUUCAGGAAACUGGGGCUAAUACCGGAUAGGAGCUCCUGCUGCAUGGUGGGGGUUGGAAAGUUUCGGCGGUAGGGGAUGGACUCGGGGGUUAUCAGCUUGUUGGUGGGGUAGUGGCUUACCAAGGCUUUGACGGGUAGCCGGCCUGGGAGGGUGACCGGCCACAAUGGGACUGAGAUACGGCCCAGACUCGUACGGGGGGCAGCAGUGGGGAAUAUUGCACAAUGGGCGGGAGCCUGAUGCAGCAGCGCCGCGUGCGGGAUGACGGCCUUCGGGUUGUAAACCGCUUUCGCCUGUGACGAAGCGUGAGUGACGGUAAUGGGUAAAGAAGCACCGGCUAACUACGUG